rnacentral:rRNA from 1 species
UACGGAGGGUGCAAGCGUUGUUCGGAAUUACUGGGCGUAAAGCGCGCGUAGGCGGUUUGUUAAGUCAGAUGUGAAAGUCCACGGCUCAACCGUGGAAGUGCAUUUGAAACUGGCAGACUUGAGUACUGGAGGGGGUGGUGGAAUUCCCGGUGUAGAGGUGAAAUUCGUAGAUAUCGGGAGGAAUACCGGUGGCGAAGGCGACCACCUGGCCAGAUACUGACGCUGAGGUGCGAAAGCGUGGGGAGCAAACAGG